rnacentral:rRNA from 1 species
GACGAACGCUGGCGGCGUGCCUAAUACAUGCAAGUCGAGCGCAGGAAACUGACGGAACUCUUCGGAGGGAAGGCAGUGGAAUGAGCGGCGGACGGGUGAGUAACACGUAAGGAACCUGCCUCAAGGAUUGGGAUAACUCCGAGAAAUCGGAGCUAAUACCGGAUAGUUCAACGGACCGCAUGGUCCGCUGAUGAAAGGCGCUCCGGCGUCACCUUGAGAUGGCCUUGCGGUGCAUUAGCUAGUUGGUGGGGUAACGGCCCACCAAGGCGACGAUGCAUAGCCGACCUGAGAGGGUGAUCGGCCAAACUGGGAUUGAGACACGGCCCAGACUCCUACGGGAGGCAGCAGUAGGGAAUCUUCCACAAUGGACGAAAGUCUGAUGGAGCAACGCCGCGUGAGUGAUGAAGGUUUUCGGAUCGUAAAACUCUGUUGUAAGGGAAGAACACGUACGAGAGGAAAUGCUCGUACCUUGACGGUACCUUACGAGAAAGCCACGGCUAACUACGUGCCAGCAGCCGCCGUAA